GACGUAGGGUGCGAGCGUUGUCCGGAUUUAUUGGGCGUAAAGAGCUCGUAGGCGGCUCGUCGCGUCGACCGUGAAAACCCGCGGCUUAACUGCGGGCUUGCGGUUGAUACGGGCGGGCUAGAGUUCGGUAGGGGAGAUUGGAAUUCCUGGUGUAGCGGUGAAAUGCGCAGAUAUCAGGAGGAACACCGGUGGCGAAGGCGGGUCUCUGGGCCGAUACUGACGCUGAGGAGCGAAAGCGAGGGGAGCGAACGGG
rnacentral:rRNA from 1 species